rnacentral:tRNA from 1 species
AUGUCGGUGUUCUAAUGGUAAGAUGCAGGUCUCCAAAACCUUGCGAUGAGGGUUCGAAUCCUUCCCGAUAUGCCA